rnacentral:rRNA from 1 species
GCCAGACUCCUACGGGAGGCAGCAGUGAGGAAUAUUGGUCAAUGGCCGAGAGGCUGAACCAGCCAAGUCGCGUGAGGGAUGACGGCCCUACGGGUUGUAAACCUCUUUUGCCGGGGAGCAAAGAGCGGGACGCGUCCCGCCUCGAGAGUACCCGGAGAAAAAGCAUCGGCUAACUCCGUGCCAGCAGCCGCGGUAAUACGGAGGAUGCGAGCGUUAUCCGGAUUUAUUGGGUUUAAAGGGUGCGUAGGCGGGCUUUUAAGUCAGCGGUAAAAAUUCGGGGCUCAACCCCGUCCGGCCGUUGAAACUGGCUGUCUUGAGAUGUCGAGAGGUAUGCGGAAUGCGCAGUGUAGCGGUGAAAUGCUUAGAUAUUGCGCAGAACUCCGAUUGCGAAGGCAGCAUACCGGCGGCGAUCUGACGCUGAGGCACGAAAGCGUGGGUAUCGAACAGGAUUAGAUACCCCUGUACC